UGUCUCUGUUAGUUUAAUUUAAUUUAUCUUACGGAUUAUGAUGAUAGGUCCUGAGACGAACCUGAAAAUCGAGCGCGAUGAAAAGAAGAAAAAUGGUAGAUAAAAACCAUUUUUUUCUGGGUAAUGCUUCAGCGUGAAAGCCAAUCCAUAGACAAAAGUCAUCCAGCCCAGAAAUCGCAAAACCAGCAAUCCGUAACCAGCUGGAGAUUCGUAAACAUAAAGAACUUUCCCCGGAUCGAAAUACUGUUGUUACCAGCCGUCGUCCACGUAACAACAAUAAAGUGAUGAAUAAGUGGGUGAAAAGGGCGAUGUAAGUCACGCAGUAGAGCGACAUGAAAACAGUCACCUUGACAACGGAUCGGGAUCGAAGCCGAGCGCGCGUCACUGUGUAACCUUUUCCUAGUAAUAUCAGCAUCAAUAUGUAAAAGAUUUCCGAUGUCGCCUCGAACAUUCGUCCUGAAACAAAAGUUUUGAGACCCACAGAUCCAACCCCAUCAUUUGCAUAUUUCCCGUAAGCGACAGUUAAUAGAAAGAGGCCAACUGCUUGGAGAAGAACACUGGUGAUGAACAUCUUAUUCACGAAACUUACUGCCGCACAAGAUUGCUACCACCGAGAGAGUGACUUGGACCAACAAGAAACCAAUCAACAUAUGUAAAAUAUCUGCGAAAUUCAUCAGCGGAAAAGUGCUGGAACCAAAUGUCUUCGCUAGGGCCAUUCGUCAUCCAGAAACGAUAUUUCAGAGAUAACCCCUAGCAAAGAUAAAUUAUGGAUGAUGUAAUGGAAGAUGCAUUUAAAUAAUUAUCAACCCGCGGCGAUGGGCAAUUGCUAACUGCAAUGAACCACCAACGUUCCCUGGACGAACGGAAAGUCCUGUUACCGACACAGCGGUAUUUGGCCUUAUCUGGAUCUAGUCGGAUGAUUUGACAUUCUGCCGACCGUGAAUUCGAGGCAAAGGUGGAAAGAGGAAGCAGAUCAAGGCCGAUCCAACUGCCAGCCGAUUCAUGGCUACUCAAUAAUCGUCGGCCAGACACGGCCACACAGUGACUGUAACAAAUGCCUGGUCGCUUGACUGCAAAAUGUCCAGAAUUCCGUCGGGGGAGGAGAAAACCAAAAGUAGGCACGGAGGGUGGUGGAAGGGUGUGGGCAACGAUUGACCUGUGACUAUGGCAACCGUAAAAGGAAACAAGAUCAAACUAAUCACGUUUCGUGGCUUUACGCGAUCGGCUAGUGGUUGAGCUGCUGCUAUUGUUAUCGGUUGCAGUUAAU